rnacentral:rRNA from 1 species
GUUGGGUAGGGGAGCGUUCUGUAAGCCUGUGAAGGUGGCCUGUGAGGGUUGCUGGAGGUAUCAGAAGUGCGAAUGCUGACAUAAGUAACGAUAAAGCGGGUGAAAAGCCCGCUCGCCGGAAGACCAAGGGUUCCUGUCCAACGUUAAUCGGGGCAGGGUGAGUCGACCCCUAAGGCGAGGCCGAAAGGCGUAGUCGAUGGGAAACGGGUUAAUAUUCCCGUACUUGGUGUUACUGCGAAGGGGGGACGGAGAAGGCUAUGUUGGCCGGGCGACGGUUGUCCCGGUUUAAGCGUGUAGGUGUGUGUUCCAGGUAAAUCCGGUUCACUUUAACACUGAGGCGUGACGACGAGGCACUACGGUGCUGAAGCAACAAAUGCCCUGCUUCCAGGAAAAGCCUCUAAGCAUCAGGUAACAUCAAAUCGUACCCCAAACCGACACAGGUGGUCAGGUAGAGAAUACCAAGGCGCUUGAGAGAACUCGGGUGAAGGAACUAGGCAAAAUGGUGCCGUAACUUCGGGAGAAGGCACGCUGACACGUAGGUGAAGUGAUUUACUCACGGAGCUGAAGUCAGUCGAAGAUACCAGCUGGCUGCAACUGUUUAUUAAAAACACAGCACUGUGCAAACACGAAAGUGGACGUAUACGGUGUGACGCCUGCCCGGUGCCGGAAGGUUAAUUGAUGGGGUCAGCGCAAGCGAAGCUCCUGAUCGAAGCCCCGGUAAACGGCGGCCGUAACUAUAACGGUCCUAAGGUAGCGAAAUUCCUUGUCGGGUAAGUUCCGACCUGCACGAAUGGCGUAAUGAUGGCCAGGCUGUCUCCACCCGAGACUCAGUGAAAUUGAACUCGCUGUGAAGAUGCAGUGUACCCGCGGCAAGACGGAAAGACCCCGUGAACCUUUACUAUAGCUUGACACUGAACAUUGAGCCUUGAUGUGUAGGAUAGGUGGGAGGCUUUGAAGCGUGGACGCCAGUCUGCGUGGAGCCGACCUUGAAAUACCACCCUUUAAUGUUUGAUGUUCUAACGUGGACCCGUGAUCCGGGUUGCGGACAGUGUCUGGUGGGUAGUUUGACUGGGGCGGUCUCCUCCUAAAGAGUAACGGAGGAGCACGAAGGUUGGCUAAUCCUGGUCGGACAUCAGGAGGUUAGUGCAAUGGCAUAAGCCAGCUUGACUGCGAGCGUGACGGCGCGAGCAGGUGCGAAAGCAGGUCAUAGUGAUCCGGUGGUUCUGAAUGGAAGGGCCAUCGCUCAACGGAUAAAAGGUACUCCGGGGAUAACAGGCUGAUACCGCCCAAGAGUUCAUAUCGACGGCGGUGUUUGGCACCUCGAUGUCGGCUCAUCACAUCCUGGGGCUGAAGUAGGUCCCAAGGGUAUGGCUGUUCGCCAUUUAAAGUGGUACGCGAGCUGGGUUUAGAACGUCGUGAGACAGUUCGGUCCCUAUCUGCCGUGGGCGCUGGAGAACUGAGGGGGGCUGCUCCUAGUACGAGAGGACCGGAGUGGACGCAUCACUGGUGUUCGGGUUGUCAUGCCAAUGGCACUGCCCGGUAGCUAAAUGCGGAAGAGAUAAGUGCUGAAAGCAUCUAAGCACGAAACUUGCCCCGAG